CGGAUGACCUGUGGCUGGGGGUGAAAGGCCAAUCAAACCGGGAGAUAGCUGGUUCUCCCCGAAAGCUAUUUAGGUAGCGCCUCGUGAAUUCAUCUCCGGGGGUAGAGCACUGUUUCGGCUAGGGGGCCAUCCCGGCUUACCAACCCGAUGCAAACUGCGAAUACCGGAGAAUGUUAUCACGGGAGACACACGGCGGGUGCUAACGUCCGUCGUGAAGAGGGAAACAACCCAGACCGCCAGCUAAGGUCCCAAAGUCAUGGUUAAGUGGGAAACGAUGUGGGAAGGCCCAGACAGCCAGGAUGUUGGCUUAGAAGCAGCCAUCAUUUAAAGAAAGCGUAAUAGCUCACUGGUCGAGUCGGCCUGCGCGGAAGAUGUAACGGGGCUAAACCAU
rnacentral:rRNA from 1 species